rnacentral:rRNA from 1 species
AUGAACGCUGGCGGCGUGCCUAAUACAUGCAAGUCGAGCGAACAGAUAAGGAGCUUGCUCCUUUGACGUUAGCGGCGGACGGGUGAGCAACACGUGGGUAACCUACCUAUAAGACUGGAAUAACUCCGGGAAACCGGGGCUAAUGCCGGAUAACAUGUUGAACCGCAUGGUUCUACAGUGAAAGGCGGCUUUGCUGUCACUUAUAGAUGGACCCGCGCCGUAUUAGCUAGUUGGUGAGGUAACGGCUCACCAAGGCAACGAUACGUAGCCGACCUGAGAGGGUGAUCGGCCACACUGGAACUGAGACACGGUCCAGACUCCUACGGGAGGCAGCAGUAGGGAAUCUUCCGCAAUGGGCGAAAGCUGACGGAGCAACGCCGCGUGAGUGAUGAAGGUCUUCGGAUCGUAAAACUCUGUUAUUAGGGAAGAACAAGUGCGUAAGUAACUGUGCGCGUCUUGACGGUACCUAAUCAGAAAGCCACGGCUAACUACGUGCCAGCAGCCGCGGUAAUACGUAGGUGGCAAGCGUUAUCCGGAAUUAUUGGGCGUAAAGCGCGCGUAGGCGGUUUUUUAAGUCUGAUGUGAAAGCCCACGGCUCAACCGUGGAGGGUCAUUGGAAACUGAAAAACUUGAGUGCAGAAGAGGAAAGUGGAAUUCCAUGUGUAGCGGUGAAAUGCGCAGAGAUAUGGAGGAACACCAGUGGCGAAGGCGACUUUCUGGUCUGUAACUGACGCUGAUGUGCGAAAGCGUGGGGAUCAAACAGGAUUGGAUACCCUGGUAGU